rnacentral:rRNA from 1 species
AGUGAACGCUGGCGGUAGGCCUAACACAUGCAAUUCGAACGGCAGCACAGUACUAGCUUGCUCUUACGGGUGGCGAGUGGCGGACGGGUGAGGAAUACAUCUGACUCUACUUUUUCGUUGGGGAUAACGUAUGGGAACUUACGCUAAUACCGCAUACCACUUACGGGUGAAAGCAUGGGAUCUUCUUACCUUGCGCGUUUGCAUGCGCCGUUGUCGUAUUUGCUAGUUGUCGGGGUAAAGGCCCACCAAGGCGACGAUCCGUAGCUGGUCUGAGAGGAUGAUCAGCGACACGGGAAGUGGGACACGGUCAAGACUACUAAGGGAGGCAGCAGAGGGGAAUAUGGGGCAACGGGCGCAAGCAUGAUCCAGCCAGACAGCGUGGGUGAAGAAGGCCUUCGGGUUGUGAAGACCGUUUGUUGGGAAAGAAAAGCAGUAGGUUAAUAACAAGCUGUUGUGACGGUACCCAAAGAAUAAGCACCGGCUAACUUCGUG